ACGGCCGCGGUAUUUUGACCGUGCGAAGGUAGCGCAAUCACUUGUCUUUUAAAUGGAGACCUGUAUGAAUGGCACCACGAGGGCUUAACUGUCUCCCUCUCCCAGUCAAUGAAAUUGAUCUCCCCGUGCAGAAGCGGGGAUAAAAACAUAAGACGAGAAGACCCUAUGGAGCUUAAGACGCCAGAGCAGCCCACGUUAAACACCCUAAAACAAAAGAUAAAACAAAGUGGACCCCGCUCUAGUGUCUUUGGUUGGGGCGACCGCGGGGAAAAACUUAACCCCCAUGUGGAAUAGGAGUACUAUACUCUCAAAUCCAAGAGCUCCCGCUCUAAUAAACAGAAUUUCUGACCAACAAGAUCCGGCAAUGCCGAUCAACGGACCGAGUUACCCUAGGGAUAACAGCGCAAUCCUCUUAAAGAGCCCUUAUCGACAAGGGGGUUUACGACCUCGAUGUUGGAUCAGGACAUCCUAAUGGUGC
rnacentral:rRNA from 1 species